ensembl:lncRNA
GGGAAUUUUAGGGCAGAUUUGGACCGAUAACCCAGUUUGGGCAAAAUUAGACUCCGGCAUCUGGAUUUGACCUCGGGCCCUCAACGCGGUCCCGGGGGUCACUCAGGGGUCGCGGGGCACAAAGCUGAGCGCUGACCCGGCACAGGUCAAGCAUGCGGGCGGCUGAAAGGACGCCUUUGUGGGGGCUGGCAUGCUCACUAUUUCCCAUGAGCACCAGGGGACCGUGUCUGCCCAGGAAACUGGAGCGGGGAGACAGUCGAGGUGUGUGCGUGCGUGCGCGCGUGUGUGCGCGUGUGUGUGGAAACCAUAAUUGAUUUUUGUUUAUAAGUUCCUGCUUGUUUGCUUGUGAUUAUCACUGAAUGAAGGUCGCAGUUGAGCCUGAUUUUUAUUUAUUACCGGGGAAUGUGUUUAUUUCUUGUGCUUUUCGGAGGGCGGGGCUACAGGUGGAAGCCACUCCCCGUGGCCCGGCCUUCAACGCUCCCUUUCAAACGCGGUCAUGCCGCCCUGCGCGCCCGAGAAGUCGGCACUGUGGAGACGUCUGUCCGUGCGGCGGUCAGACAGACACGGCACGCACUCCGAGAGGCCAGACUCAUAAAGCGAAGACGUGACAGAGCGGCGCUGAUGGGUCAAUAUGGCCGAUCCUCACACCCCCCCCCAUGGAUGCUCAAUCACAUUCAUGUAUGC